rnacentral:lncRNA from 1 species
UUGCUUCUUCACGGGCUUUUUCUUCUAAUUAGAUUUUCUCUUAGAGCAAGUAGCCCAUUCCAUUAUGAGAACAAUGCCCCUUGAACCCUUUAAGGCCCCUUCAGUAGUUAUCAAUAUAUUUAACGAUUCAGUCUUGUUAUAGUCAAUCUUAUUUAUAUGAUAGUUUACUAUAAAUUAUCCAUAAGAAUCAGGAAGGGAUUGC